UUGCAAUAACGUUGUUCCUGUUGGAGACACAAAGGAAGGUCUCUUCAACACUUGUAUGACAGACGUAUGCCAAUGCUCACUUGAUAAGACGUGUGCUUGCCCGCAAUUUGACGCAUACGCACAAAGAUGUAUAGAAAGCGGAGUAGAUCUAAAUGACUGGAGGGAGGCGAUUUUAUUUUGUCCAUAUGAUUGCCCGGAGGGACAGUUGUAUCGACCAAACGGCGCUGUUCCAGCUCCCACAUGUUUAGAAAGGAGCCCAACUAAAACUGGGACCGUCAGAGGGUGCUUUUGUCCUGAGGGAAACUUUUUA